UACGUAGGUGGCGAGCGUUGUCCGGAUUUACUGGGCGUAAAGGGAGCGUAGGCGGACUUUUAAGUGAGAUGUGAAAUACUCGGGCUCAACUUGAGUGCUGCAUUUCAAACUGGAAGUCUAGAGUGCAGGAGAGGAGAAUGGAAUUCCUAGUGUAGCGGUGAAAUGCGUAGAGAUUAGGAAGAACACCAGUGGCGAAGGCAGGUCUCUGGGCCGUUACUGACGCUGAGGAGCGAAAGCGUGGGGAGCGAACAGG
rnacentral:rRNA from 1 species